UCUGGUGAUGAUGGUUUUGAGGGUAACACUCCUUACCAUACCGAACAGGCAAGUUAAGCCUCAAGACGCCGAUAGUACUGCACGGGAAGCUGUGUGGGAGGGUAGGUUGUCGCCAGGUA
rnacentral:rRNA from 1 species